GAUUCAGCAAAUCAUGUGAUUUAAAAUCGUGCACUUUGCAUUUACUCCUGGUUUUAAAGCACCAGUUAUCAAUUUAAUAACAAGCUGCGUAUUGUCCUAUAUUCCCCUCUUUGUCAUGUUACUUUGUUACAGCACGCUAGCCUACUCAAACUAUGACCUUGUGGCAAGCUAAUAGUUUCGCUGUAGCGAGCAAUAUAUGCAUAAGCACGUUAGCUACUUGGCUGGCCAAUAUCAACUAAGUAAUUUCGUCGCAAUAUAGUCUUUAGCAAAUUACGGACCUUUCGUAUACAUUUUGAGUUCCAACUAUUGACAAAAUGGUAUGCGAUGGGGGGAAUGCUAGACCCCAAAAGAACAUUAGAGGACGGCAGUGAGCGGAUCCAGGGAGCCAUCAUGGAACAGUACACUACCACCACCACAACCACUGGCGAGCAGAUUGUGGUGCAGGCAGCCAGCGGACAGAUCCAGCAGCAGGGCACCGUGACCGCGGUCCAGCUGCAGACCGAGGCUCAGGUGGCCCCCGCCUCGGGCCAGCAGGUUCAGACACUCCAGGUAGUACAAGGGCAGCCCCUCAUGGUGCAGGUGAGUGGUGGGCAGCUCAUCACCUCCUCUGGACAGCCCAUCAUGGUCCAGGCCAUGCCGGGGAGCCAGGGGCAGACCAUCAUGCAGGUGCCAGUGUCAGGAGCACAGGGUCUGCAGCAGAUUCAGCUGGUGCAGCCGGGGCAGAUCCAGAUCCAGGGGGGCCAGGCGCUGCAGGUCCAGGGACAGCAGGGCCAAACCCAGCAGAUCAUCAUCCAGCAGCCCCAGACCGCCGUCACGGCGGGACAGAACCAGGGUCAGCAGCAGAUUACCGUGCAGGGCCAGCAGGUGGCGCAGACUGCAGAGGGGCAGACUAUAGUGUACCAGCCGGUCAAUGCUGACGGGACCAUCCUCCAGCAAGGAAUGAUCACUAUCCCCGCAGCCAGUCUGGCGGGAGCCCAGAUCGUGCAGGCGGGCUCCAACACCAACACGACCAACAGCGGCCAGGGCACCGUGACCGUGACCCUGCCAGUGUCCGGCAACAUGGUCAACGCUGGCGGGAUGGUCAUGGUAAGGCCCCCCUACGAGAUGGUGCCGGGCAGCGGGACCGUGCCCACCAUGCAGAGGAUACCGCUGCCCGGGGCGGAGAUGCUGGAGGAGGAGCCGCUCUACGUCAACGCCAAGCAGUACAACCGCAUCCUGAAGAGGCGGCAGGCUCGCGCCAAGCUGGAGGCCGAGGGCAAGAUCCCCAAGGAGAGGAGGAAAUACCUGCACGAGUCGCGGCACCGCCACGCCAUGCAGAGGAAACGGGGCGACGGCGGCCGCUUCUUCUCGCCCAAGGAGAAGGAGGAGAUGGCGCUGGCCAUGCAGGUGAGGAUGCUGCAGGGCGGCCUCAAGCAGGAGGAGGCGUUUAGGGGGGUGGACCUCAACUCCCAUUGGCCCCCGACAUCUGCCCCGCCCCUCGGCUAGCCAGCAGCAGGUCUAUGCCACCCCCCUCACCCCCAAACUGUGCUGCUCUGACCCUGAAAUCCAAACUCUUAUUUCAGUACGUAUUAAACGUCCCCCCCGUCCCCCCCCAGGGCCGUGUGCUGAUGUCACACUGGCCUCCUCUGCUGAUUGUACUGGCACUGAUAUGUUUAUUUUUAUACGCAUGUUGUUUUUUUUUUUUUAAUAUCCUGUUUUUGUUCUUGCCGGGCUUGUUUGGAAAUGUAAGGCGAGAUUUAAGCUGUGCUGGGCGAUGGUGUAACUGCCCUGGGAGUCGGCCAGUGUCUUGCUGAGCUGAUGACCUCCCAGCCGAGCCCAGUUCCCUUCAUGCACAGCACAGUCACGCCGCAUGAGCUCCACGGCACACACCUGUACAGGUGUCAUUACCAAAGAGCUGGGACUUGUUCUGCCCCACAAUACCAUGAUGCCUUGCAACUUGAUCGUUAAAGAGUAGUGUGUGAUUGAUUACCUUGUUCAGUGUUGACUAAUUCAAGGACAGGAGUUCUAUUCUCCUGCCUUUUCUAUUGAAAUGUUCUGGUUUUCAGUGCUAAAUAGACAAUUUUUCAUACAUAGCUUUUCUGUAGAUUCUCUUGGAAAUGAAACCGAACGCGAAUCAGGGAGAGAACACUCAUUUAUGGCAAUGUUGGUACUGCUCUCCUAACUCUUAAAUGAUUCAUUAUUAACAUUAAUUACCAGCACAUAUGCAGUGUCCUCAGCCACUGCUAACCUCAGUCUACAGGAGAUCAGAGUGCUUUGACUCAAAAGCCUGUACUCUUUAAGGACAGUGUCUUAUAUCAUUGGACACACAGUAUUGCUAUAAGUUUCUCAGUGAAAACAAAUAUAAAUAGUGAAUUAAUCACUCGUAUUGAAUACUAAGCCCUAUGCAGUGGAACAGAAUCUUGUUUGCCAACACUAUGUUUACUUGGAGAAGAGGGAAGUUAGGCUCAUCGUUAACAGUCGCCGUGCUUGUCUUGUGCCAUAAAACGCCCGUCGUUGGCUUGUGUACACCUCUGUAGCGAACAGUCCGGCGUCUCUCCAGUGCAUUGCUGUUCUUCGGUUACAGGCUGCUGCACACUGUCUGAAUGUUUUUUUUUUGUUUGUUUGUUUUUUUACCCCCCCUUCCCCCCUGUGUUGUGCUCACUGCUUACUGCUGCUGUCCUGUGAUGUUCCCUGCUGUACACCUCUCUCCUAACACUGUCUUUAUUAAACAGAUGCAGGGCUAGGAUAGAAGGGGUGGUUUCAAAGAGCCAGGAGCUGGCCCAGGCCGGUGAAGAGAGUGUGGGCCAGAUGAUUCGUGUGUCGUAGCGGCCGCCCACCCUUGUGCGUGCGUGUGUUUUUUUUUUUUUUUUUUUUUUUUUUUGGGGGGGGGGGGUUGCCCCAGCCCUGCAUCUCAGCAACCGCUCCUCAGUCUCCGGUUUUCCAGGGGGUCCCAGCUCACCUGCUCCAGGAAAACCUGAGCUCCUCAGUCAGAGUCUGCAGGAACCUGAUCUGCCAGUCUGAGCACCGUACGUCCCAUUACCCUUCCUUUUACCAGGGAAAGUAACAGGGCAUGAUGUCAUUAGCAUAUUCUAAGAGGAAAAAUUUAAAUGUGAAAUAUUUAAGAGAAUAAAUAUUUCUCCAAAAUUUCUCCCCCCUAAACAUUUUUCUUCACGUAACACAAAUUAAGCCUCGACCUUUGUGUAUAUGUAUACACACAGAUGCAUACAUAGAGGCAUUCUUAUUUUUGUGUGAUCGGGCCAGGUCAAGCACUUAACUCAAAUUCUGAAACCUAAAGCCCUGGCACACUAAAUCCUUGUUGAAAGCCUGUUGACUAGAGUGAUUUUGACAACUUUGUGUGUGUGUGUGUGUGUGUGUGUGUGAGGGGUGGGGGUGGAUGGAUGAUCCGUUAGGUCUUCUAGUAUUUGUGUAUAUGUGUUAAA